rnacentral:misc_RNA from 1 species
AAAAAUAUGAUAAACUGAUAACUGAUAAGAGGGAGACUGGCUGUAAGCUUGAGCUUGGAUAUGAUAGGGGUAAGCGUAUGCUCAUGGCCACCGAGUUUGCUGCCACGAUCACCACCAAGUUUGAAAAGAUUUGGGGUUUAUAGCUCUUCUUCUCCACAGUCUCUCUGUCCUACCCGCGAAACUACCUUGUCUAUAAUUCACAAUUCUGGUGUUAUUGCUUGCCUUCGCGCCAAUAGAGCUCGCAUUUGAAGCUGCUUCUGCUGCACUGAGAGGUGGAAUCUCAGUAGUGAGUCUUUUUCAUGUUAAUGGAUAUUAUACAAAAAAAAAAGAAGUUGGAUAUUUGGACACACUUUUACAUCGUCGGUAGCAAUGUCGAGUGCAUGUGUUGUAGAGAUUAUGAAUCUUGCUCCUCAAAUAUAUGGGUUUUGUAAUUAUGUCUUCUUCUCCUUGAUAUGCAGCUGGAGAUUGUGAUGUCCACUCCAGGUUUUACAACAGCUGGUGCAAGACCAUCCCACAGUGGCCUUAGGGGUUGGUACACUUCUAAAUGUGGAGGAUGCCAUGAAGGCAAAGAGUGCAGGAGCCAAAUUUCUUAUGAGUCCUGCGAUGGUGAUGGGUAUUAUGGAUGUCACCCGGGAUGGUGAAAUUCUGUACAUACCCGGUGCAAUGACACCAACAGAAAUACUAUCUGCUUAUGAUGCUGGUUCUAAAAUUGUUAAGGUCUAUCCAGUUUCUGCAUUAGGUGGUAUCCAUUUUAUUUCAGCACUGAAGAAACCAUUCCCUCACAUAUCAGUGCUUGCUUCUCAAGGCAUAAUGAUAGAUUCUGUACGUGACUAUAUAUCAUGUGGGGCAUCAUCGGUUGUUUUGUCUGAUGCCAUAUUUAAUAAAGAGGCAAUGGCUCAGAAAAAUUUCAAUGCAAUAUAUCAACUUGCAAGCCUUGCUGCUCUGCAGGGAAAAGAAGCUGUAUUACGAAAGAGGAAUUACAACCCAAAUUAAUUGCUUCAGAUGAGCAUAAAGGUUCUGUUCUGCAUUGUCUAUACCUGACCAGUUUAAAAGCAUCAGUAAGGUUUUCUGAUGGUGUGAAUGCCUUUGGACAGGGAACAGAUUACUGACUGAGAAUGGUAAAUGCACAUAAGGCGUUUACCUUUUCAUUUCAUUUGUUUUAUGAUUUUUGUUAUGCCAAAGUUUUUUUGAUAGAAAUAUUCUUGAGUUUUUGCAUGUACGGAAAAUAGAAAAUAUAAUGUGAUAGUGAAUAAUAACAUAGGGGAUGCUUUGGAUUAUAUUAGAUACAUAAAAUCAUAUAAAAAAGAACUACUUUCGAAUGCUUCAAAUUCAAAUGCAAUUAUCCAUACUAU